GCUGUGGCUUGCCUUUUCACUUCUUGUGUCCUGUUUAAGAAAUAUCUACUAUCCCAAGAUUGCAAACUCCUAGAGAAGGGCUCAACAGUGAGUGCUGAGGCUGCACAGAGGAGGAAGGCAGCACAAUGAUGGAAGGCUUCCUAAAGAGAUAACACUAACAAAGUUGACCUUAGAAUUGGAGUGCCUGGGUUAGAACCCUGCUGGUACCACCUGCUUACUGCAUGCUUCUGAUGUGAGUUCAGGAGAAGACACUGGCAAGGACAGCAAAGAACAGGAGAACACUCUAGCUUCCCUGAUAGCAUUCAAGGUGCUGUCCAAAGCUCUUGAGUUUCUGCUUUCAAGUGACCCUCAGAAAUUCCCCCAUUCACUGCAGAGGUUCUGUUUCUCCUUGCUUUGUUCUGACUUUACGGCAGAACUAAGCUGAUGAGUUAGUUACUAUGGGUUAUCACUUGGAUUUGAAGAACCAUCAUUUCUAGGCAUUGCUGCUCAGAGUGGGUCUGCCCUCAGGGGAAGCUGUCUAACCAGAGCCUAACCCACUAGGGUUUUAUCAGAACCUAACUGACCUGAGGAAAAGAAAUAUUCAACUCCAGCAAGCUCCAGCCUUCCAAAUGGAGGAGAAGAAAACCCAACUCCAGCCCACUUCAGCUAUCUUGUCCCACAUAAAGGGGAAGUGGAAGAAACCUGAGAAGCAGGCAUGAAGUUCACAGUCCAGAGGUACAGACACAUCAGAGUUCAGUAUCUGAUGAAUUAGAUGCAAAAACCUCAACAAAGUAUUAGCAAAUUGAAUUCAACAAUGUAUGAAAAUUAUUACAUGCCAUGACUAAUUGGAAUUUAUCUCAGGUAUACAAGCCAUGCUGAACAUCUGAAAAUCAAUUCAUGUGAUCCAUCACAUUAGCAGACUCAAGAAAAAAAACCACAUUAUCAUAUCAGUAGAUGUAGAAAAAAAAAUUUAACAAAA
rnacentral:lncRNA from 1 species